AGAUACCAGGGUCAAAAGGUCAUGCGUUUCAUGCUUGCAUGAAAAAGCAUGACUUUAGGAUUGCGGGAGCACAAAGUGCGGAGCAAUCCGUAGGUAUCA
rnacentral:sRNA from 1 species